GUAGGGAAUCUUCCGCAAUGGACGCAAGUCUGACGGAGCAACGCCGCGUGAGUGAAGAAGGUUUUCGGAUCGUAAAACUCUGUUGUUAGAGAAGAACAAGUGCUAGAGUAACUGUUAGCACCUUGACGGUAUCUAACCAGAAAGCCACGGCUAACUACGUGCCAGCAGCCGCGGUAAUACGUAGGUGGCAAGCGUUGUCCGGAUUUAUUGGGCGUAAAGCGAGCGCAGGCGGUUCCUUAAGUCUGAUGUGAAAGCCCCCGGCUCAACCGGGGAGGGUCAUUGGAAACUGGGGAACUUGAGUGCAGAAGAGGAGAGUGGAAUUCCAUGUGUAGCGGUGAAAUGCGUAGAUAUAUGGAGGAACACCAGUGGCGAAGGCGACUCUCUGGUCUGUAACUGACGCUGAGGCUCGAAAGCGUGGGUAGCAAACAGGAUUAGAAACCCUAGUAGUCC
rnacentral:rRNA from 1 species